UGCAGUCGANGGCAGCGCGGGGCAACCUGGCGGCGAGUGGCGAACGGGUGAGUAAUAUAUCGGAACGUGCCCUGGAGUGGGGGAUAACGCAGCGAAAGUUGCGCUAAUACCGCAUACGAUCUAAGGAUGAAAGCGGGGGAUUCGCAAGAACCUCGUGCUCCUGGAGCGGCCGAUAUCUGAUUAGCUAGUUGGUGGGGUAAAGGCCUACCAAGGCAUCGAUCAGUAGCUGGUCUGAGAGGACGACCAGCCACACUGGAACUGAGACACGGUCCAGACUCCUACGGGAGGCAGCAGUGGGGAAUUUUGGACAAUGGGCGAAAGCCUGAUCCAGCAAUGCCGCGUGAGUGAAGAAGGCCUUCGGGUUGUAAAGCUCUUUUGUCAGGGAAGAAACGGUGAAGGCUAAUAUCCUUUGCUAAUGACGGUACCUGAAGAAUAAGCACCGGCUAACUACGUGCCAGCAGCCGCGGUAAUACGUAGGGUGCAAGCGUUAAUCGGAAUUACUGGGCGUAAAGCGUGCGCAGGCGGUUUUGUAAGUCUGUCGUGAAAUCCCCGGGCUCAACCUGGGAAUUGCGAUGGAGACUGCAAGGCUAGAAUCUGGCAGAGGGGGGUAGAAUUCCACGUGUAGCAGUGAAAUGCGUAGAGAUGUGGAGGAACACCGAUGGCGAAGGCAGCCCCCUGGGUCAAGAUUGACGCUCAUGCACGAAAGCGUGGGGAGCAAACAGGAUUAGAUACCCUGGUAGUCCACGCCCUAAACGAUGUCUACUAGUUGUCGGGUUUUAAUUAACUUGGUAACGCAGCUAACGCGUGAAGUAGACCGCCUGGGGAGUACGGUCGCAAGAUUAAAACUCAAAGGAAUUGACGGGGANCCGCACAAGCGGUGGAUGAUGUNGNAUUNAUUCGAUGCNACGCGAAAAANCNUUACCUACCCU
rnacentral:rRNA from 1 species